UCUGUAGUAUCCACAAUGUUACAAGGACGCGCUUGUAUUAACUACUUUGUCUCCACAUAACUGAUUCAUGAAUUUCACGUAAAGUUUACGUGAACUCCUGUAAACUCAUUUCGUUUGAUUUUUCUCUUGUCCUCACGCACACAAACAAACAUUAGAAUCGUACAUUGAAUAAAGUUGCCCGUGCUGUGCUGGAGUUUUGCAUCUGUUGGCGUUUUCCGAUUUUUCCGCGUACACAAGGUCAGUGUUUUCAUCUUUCACACAAAAUUUGAGCCAGUUUUUGACCAGAUAAUAAAGAUACGGCUUCCUAUUACAGAUCCAAAGUUGCGAAUCUAUCAAACGUAUGGUGAUAGACGAAAAGUGGAGCAGCGGCAAUAUUCCCAACAUGAACGCCUUCAGCACCGCCUUCGUGACCGAGCCGGAAGAUAAUAAUUAAAACCUCUUCUAGUAGCUGCAGUUUCAGCAAAAGUUGGCCCUUCAGCAGCAGCAAAAACAACUAGAAAAUCAGCGACAAUUGCAAUCACGGAAUUCAGCAAAAAACUGCUCCUGGCUCAAUGCAGCUAACUCGAGAAAGCUUCCCAGGGCGAGAUUCAGAAGCUGUAUUGCAGGAAUUGGCUUCCGUCGCCCUGUCCGCAGGAUGUGCGAAUUGUUACCAACCGGCGGAAACCUUCCAAUUGUUUCAACUCCUUCGAUUAACGGCCUCUUUGUUUGGUUCCACGCUCUUUGCCGCCCUAGUUACACACUUCCGGCAUGCGCCAGCCUAGACUAUGAAAUGUGGUCAUCAGAAUGAAGGAGGAAGAUACGUACCCGUUGACGAUUCAAAAGAAGUUUUGUGAAAUGAUUGAGAAACGUCGGUUCCCGUCUGCCUUCUACAAAAAAAACUGUCCCAUUUAGGUGCGGUUCCAACAAUCCGUAAAAUUGUCGGGAAGCUACUGUACGUCAGAUACCUCGACAGCCCGCUAGAAAAUAACUUUUUUGGUGCCACGGACACUCUACCCUGAUCCGUUCCGUCUGAUGGGCUAACGUAUGAGUUUGAAGACGUUGAACCGCUGAACCUUUCAUUGAUCUGUGUAGCCACGUACGGUGCAGACGAGAGUGGAGCUUCCUUAAAAAAAUCUUCCUGCCGAAUUUGUCUUUCCAAACCCAUCGUGCUAACGCCUCCAAAGGCUAUUAUUAAAUAGGUUUAAAUUUAAAUUUUAUGGAAUUUUGAUCUAGAACAGAACUUCGUCAACAUCAGGAGUGAACCUCCAACCGAAGAUUUUUCCCUCAACUUUUAUAAAGCAGAGGAGGUUGCGAGGAAACUAGCAUCGGUGGAACAACAUAAGUGACGAAAGCGAACGUCGAGUCAUCCAGCUGAGUUACAAGCUUAAAAGAUGUGUAAAGCACCAGUCCUAAUCAAUAAAUUGAGGUUUCCCAGGAGAAUUCCAGCUGUAAGUCAAGUUUCACCGAACGCCUGCGUAACUGCUACCAAAAAAUCAUGCUGCUAAUUGGUCGUUGUCUAGUCAAGAUUGUUGGAUCACACCAUUUUUUUUUUAAUUUGUGAACGAUUUGCUCGAAGAUUGAUUAAUCUGAACUCGAAGUCACUAUAUAAACGGUCGU